rnacentral:rRNA from 1 species
AGUGAACGCUGGCGGUAGGCCUAACACAUGCAAGUCGAACGGCAGCACAGUAAGAGCUUGCUCUUACGGGUGGCGAGUGGCGGACGGGUGAGGAAUACAUCGGAAUCUACUUUUUCGUGGGGGAUAACGUAGGGAAACUUACGCUAAUACCGCAUACGACCUACGGGUGAAAGCAGGGGAUCUUCGGACCUUGCGCGAUUGAUGAGCCGAUGUCGGAUUAGCUAGUUGGCGGGGUAAAGGCCCACCAAGGCGACGAUCCGUAGCUGGUCUGAGAGGAUGAUCCGCCACACUGGAACUGAGACACGGUCCAGACUCCUACGGGAGGCCGCAGUGGGGAAUAUUGGACAAUGGGCGCAAGCCUGAUCCAGCCAUACCGCGUGGGUGAAGAAGGCCUUCGGGUUGUAAAGCCCUUUUGUUGGGAAAGAAAAGCAGCAGGUUGAUACCCCGCUGUUCUGACGGUACCCAAAGAAUAAGCACCGGCUAACUUCGUG